rnacentral:rRNA from 1 species
GAUGAACGCUGGCGGCGUGCUUAACACAUGCCAGUCGAACGGAAAGGCUCCUGCUUGCAGGGGUACUCGAGUGGCGAACGGGUGAGUAACACGUGGGUGAUCUGCCCUGCACUUCGGGAUAAGCCUGGGAAACUGGGUCUAAUACCGGAUAGGAAGAUGGUUUGGAUGCCAUUGUGGAAAGUUUUUCGGUGUGGUAUGAGCUCGCGGCCUAUCAGCUUGUUGGUGGGGUAAUGGAGUACCAAGGCGUCGACGGGUAGCCGGCCGAGAGGGUGUCCGGCCACAUUGGGACUGAGAUACGGCCCAGACUCCUACGGGAGGCAGCAGUGGGGAAUAUUGCACAAUGGGCGGAAGCCUGAUGCAGCGACGCCGCGUGGGGGAUGACGGCCUUCGGGUUGUAAACUCCUUUCGCUAGGGACGAAGCGCAAGUGACGGUACCUGGAGAAGAAGCACCGGCUAACUACGUG